rnacentral:rRNA from 1 species
GUAACAAGGUCUCCGUUGGUGAACCAGCGGAGGGAUCAUUACUGAGUUUACGCUCUAUAACCCUUUGUGAACAUACCUAUAACUGUUGCUUCGGCGGGUAGGGUCUCCGUGACCCUCCCGGCCUCCCGCCCCCGGGCGGGUCGGCGCCCGCCGGAGGAUAACCAAACUCUGAUUUAACGACGUUUCUUCUGAGUGGUACAAGCAAAUAAUCAAAACUUUUAACAACGGAUCUCUUGGUUCUGGCAUCGAUGAAGAACGCAGCGAAAUGCGAUAAGUAAUGUGAAUUGCAGAAUUCAGUGAAUCAUCGAAUCUUUGAACGCACAUUGCGCCCGCCAGCAUUCUGGCGGGCAUGCCUGUUCGAGCGUCAUUUCAACCCUCAAGCUCUGCUUGGUGUUGGGGCCCUACAGCUGAUGUAGGCCCUCAAAGGUAGUGGCGGACCCUCCCGGAGCCUCCUUUGCGUAGUAACUUUACGUCUCGCACUGGGAUCCGGAGGGACUCUUGCCGUAAAACCCCCAAUUUUCCAAAGGUUGACCUCGGAUCAGGUAGGAAUACCCGCUGAACUUAAGCAUAUCAAUA